UUCCUUUCCUGGAAAAGACCUCCCUGGCUGCCCAGGCCUGAUGUGGUUCAAGACACGCCCUGUGGCAGGUGCCCGGUGCUAAGGCAGUACCAUGCGCCCUGGUGCAGCUGUGUCCUGCGGGCCCGGUCUCUCCACUGCGGGGCAGGCCCCUCGUUCCAGAGGGUUGCUGCAGACACAGCUUCCUCCCACAACCGAUUUAAGCAGAAGGACGUUCCUUCAGGUGCUACCGGCCAGUUGGCAGAAUUGCUGGGGCUUCAGGCUGGAGAAUCUCAGUGAGGAUGAAGGUCAGCUUCACACCGCAGAACAGACUCCCCGCCUCCCGCUCCUCCCAGGUGUGAGUCAUCGCCUCGUCCCCUCCCAGUCUCAUGCAUCGCACCCAUCCCCAUCGUCCGCCAUCGCCUCACCUCCUGGCGCUCCUUCCGCAGCGUCCCUCACAGAUUCCCUGCCUCGCGUUCGUCCCCAUCGACCCUCACAGCAUCGAAUUCGUCCCCAUCGACCCCAUCGCCUCAUCUCCUCACCGCCUUGAGCUCCUUCCGCGUCGCCCCCCACAGACUCCCCGCCUCCCGCUCCUCGCCAGCUUGACUCAUCGCCUCACAGCCUCAUAGCUUUGCAGGCGUCCCCAUCCGUCCUAACACCAACGCCCUCGUCCCCAUCGUCCCUCACCGCAUCGAACUCAGCCCCGUCUUCCCUCAAGGCAACGCAGGCGUCUCCGUCCUCCCUCAUCACAUCGCACUCGUCUCCCUCGUCCCUCCUCGCCUCACCGCCUCAUCGCAUCGCAGGCGUCCCCAUCCUCCCCAUUGUAUC
rnacentral:lncRNA from 1 species